GUGGGGAAUCUUCCGCAAUGGACGAAAGUCUGACGGAGCAACGCCGCGUGAGUGAUGAAGGUUUUCGGACUGUAAAGCUCUGUUGUUUAGGACGAAAGUGCCUGUUGCAAAUAGUUACAGGUAUUGACGGUACUGAACGAGGAAGCCACGGCUAACUACGUGCCAGCAGCCGCGGUAAUACGUAGGUGGCAAGCGUUGUCCGGAAUUAUUGGGCGUAAAGAGCAUGUAGGCGGGAAUCUAAGUCUGUUGUGAAAAUGCGGGGCUCAACCCCGUAUUGCGAUGGAAACUGGGUUUCUUGAGUGCAGGAGAGGAAAGGGGAAUUCCCAGUGUAGCGGUGAAAUGCGUAGAUAUUGGGAGGAACACCAGUGGCGAAGGCGCCUUUCUGGACUGUGUCUGACGCUGAGAUGCGAAAGCCAGGGUAGCGAACGGGAUUAGAAACCCCAGUAGUCC
rnacentral:rRNA from 1 species